UACGUAGGGGGCAAGCGUUGUCCGGAUUUAUUGGGCGUAAAGAGCGUGUAGGCGGCUUUACAGGUCCGUUGUGAAAACUCGAGGCUCAACCUCGAGACGCCGGUGGAAACCGUAAGGCUAGAGUCCGGAAGAGGAGAGUGGAAUUCCUGGUGUAGCGGUGGAAUGCGCAGAUAUCAGGAAGAACACCCGUGGCGAAGGCGGCUCUCUGGGACGGUACUGACGCUGAGACGCGAAAGCGUGGGGAGCGAACAGG
rnacentral:rRNA from 1 species